UGAGGCUUCCAGUGAAACGCACUUUCUACGAAAAUGCACGAUGCAAUUUUCAUUUAAUAAAACUUAUUAACUGACAAAAAUAUACAUGCCAAUUUCACGAAAUGACAUCCAUACUCAUGUAUAAACAUCAAACAACUGCUUCAAUCCAUACUUACAUAUAAACAUCAACCAAACCGGCAGUUGAGAGCCGCUACAGGGAGAGAGACCCAAGCAGAAGUUGUUGAUCUCGUCGCCGAAUUAUAAUUUAAUAAAUAAAAAAUACAUGUUAGAAUGCCUGAGAUUCCAAGUUAGCGUGCUACAACGGGCAUUGCCAGGGAUCCGAUAGACGCAGGGAUUGAUAGAGAACCCGGGAGAGCUCUAGAAGAAGAAGAAAAGGGGUUUCGGCCAUGGGUUGUACUGAGUCAUGCCGAGAGAGAGUGAGAGAGACGAUCUAAGAAAAAGAGGAAGAGAGAGAGAGCAUUGCUUCCUUCUCCCCUGUUCGUCGCAGCCCAAUCCCCUUCCCCUUUCUGCAUCGUCGCCGAGAGAGAGAGAGAGAGAGAGACCGAAGGCUGGAAGAAGAAGAAAAAGGAGGAGAUUGGGGACCAAAGGAGUUUCGGCCAUUGGAAGGUAUUCAUUCUACAGCUGAGCAUGUAAUUCUCUCAUGGUUUGCUAUUCAUUCUCAUGGUUUGGCAGCGUAAUUGGACGAAAUUAUAGUGCUAGAGCUGAACAUAUAAUUAUGGUGAUUUCGUUAAGAGGAAAACUGUGGCUUCGGUUACAAGAGAAGAGUAUGUUGAGAAGAGAAAUAAUUUUCAGAAAAAAAUCGAAGAGGAAGAGAAGGAGAAGCUUCAGAAGCAACAACAAGAAUGAGUUUAUAGAAUUUUGUAUAAUUUAGUGUCUUUUUUAGUGGAGUUUUUUGUUUUUUUGUUUGAUGGUUAAUUUUGUUGUUCUUUGUGUUAUAAGGAGGAAGAAAUUCAAUUAAAGAAGCAUAAAUAGAGGGAGAUAAAGGGAAAUUCACGGUUAUCGUUCGUGGUUGAUAUCGAUAAAGAAUGGUAGUGAAGAGGAGGAUGGUGAAAAUGGUGCUGAAGGUGGAGAAAGAAUCUAUAAAUCUAGUCCCGUUAUGUUUGGCUUCUCCAGUCCUGAAGUUGUGAAGCUAAUUGUUAUCUAUUGUGUUAUCCUUAGCUGUUAGCUACCAUUUAUUUCAAUUGUUUUAUCUUUACCGCUCUCUUACGUACGAAAGGGGGAUGGGGUCAAUUACCCGUAGGAGUUUGAUUAAUGGUGAGGAUUAUUGUACAGUAUGCGUUUGCGACAUGUAAUUAAUUUGAGUAAAGUUUUCCUACGUUAUCAAAAAAAAAAAAAAAAAGGA